rnacentral:ncRNA from 2 species
GAUAGCGGAUAGUACCGUGAGGGAAUGGUGAAAAGUACCCCGGGAGGGGAGUGAAAUAGUACCUGAAACCGUGUGCCUACAAGCCGUGGGAGCGUCGGAACAAGGCUUGCCUUGUUCUCGUGACUGCGUGCCUUUUGAAGAAUGAGCCUGCGAGUUUGCGGUGUGUUGCGAGGUUAACCCGUGUGGGGAAGCCGUAGCGAAAGCGAGUCCGAAU